CCUACGGGAGGCAGCAGUGGGGAAUAUUGGGCAAUGGGCGCAAGCCUGACCCAGCAACGCCGCGUGAAGGAAGAAGGCUUUCGGGUUGUAAACUUCUUUUAAGAGGGACGAGCCGAAGACGGUACCUCUUGAAUAAGCCCCGGCUAACUACGUGCCAGCCGCCGCGGUAAUACGUAGGUGGCAAGCGUUGUCCGGAUUUACUGGGUGUAAAGGGCGUGUAGCCGGGCUGACAAGUCAGAUGUGAAAUCCCGUGGCUCAACCACGGAACUGCAUUUGAAACUGUCGGUCUUGAGUAUCGGAGAGGCAGACGGAAUUCCUAGUGUAGCGGUGAAAUGCGUAGAUAUCAGGAAGAACACCGGUGGCGAAGGCAGCCUGCUGGACGACAACUGACGGUGAGGCGCGAAAGCGUGGGGAGCGAACAGGAUUAGAUACCCUAGUAGUC
rnacentral:rRNA from 1 species